UACGUAGGGUGCGAGCGUUGUCCGGAAUUAUUGGGCGUAAAGAGCUCGUAGGCGGCGUGUCGCGUCGGCCGUGAAAACCUGGGGCUUAACUCUGGGCGUGCGGUCGAUACGGGCAUCACUGGAGUUCGGCAGGGGAGACUGGAAUUCCUGGUGUAGCGGUGAAAUGCGCAGAUAUCAGGAGGAACACCGGUGGCGAAGGCGGUUUUCUAGCUUAUUCCUGACGCUGAGGCGCGAAAGCAAGGGGAUCAAACAGG
rnacentral:rRNA from 1 species